rnacentral:rRNA from 1 species
GUGGGGAAUAUUGGACAAUGGGGGGAACCCUGAUCCAGCCAUGCCGCGUGUGUGAAGAAGGCCUUUUGGUUGUAAAGCACUUUAAGCGAGGAGGAGGCUACCGAGAUUAAUACUCUUGGAUAGUGGACGUUACUCGCAGAAUAAGCACCGGCUAACUCUGUGCCAGCAGCCGCGGUAAUACAGAGGGUGCAAGCGUUAAUCGGAUUUACUGGGCGUAAAGCGCGCGUAGGUGGCCAAUUAAGUCAAAUGUGAUAUCCCCGAGCUUAACUUGGGAAUUGCAUUCGAUACUGGUUGGCUAGAGUAUGGGAGAGGAUGGUAGAAUUCCAGGUGUAGCGGUGAAAUGCGUAGAGAUCUGGAGGAAUACCGAUGGCGAAGGCAGCCAUCUGGCCUAAUACUGACACUGAGGUGCGAAAGCAUGGGGAGCAAACAGGAUUAGAAACCCUUGUAGUCC